rnacentral:rRNA from 1 species
GAUGAACGCUGGCGGCGUGCCUAAUACAUGCAAGUCGAGCGAACGGACGAGAAGCUUGCUUCUCUGAUGUUAGCGGCGGACGGGUGAGUAACACGUGGAUAACCUACCUAUAAGACUGGGAUAACUUCGGGAAACCGGAGCUAAUACCGGAUGAUAUUUUGAACCGCAUGGUUCAAAAGUGAAAGACGGUCUUGCUGUCACUUAUAGAUGGAUCCGCGCUGCAUUAGCUAGUUGGUAAGGUAACGGCUUACCAAGGCAACGAUGCAUAGCCGACCUGAGAGGGGGAUCGGCCACACUGGAACUGAGACACGGUCCAGACUCCUACGGGAGGCAGCAGUAGGGAAUCUUCCGCAAUGGGCGAAAGCCUGACGGAGCAACGCCGCGUGUGUGAUGAAGGUCUUCGGAUCGUAAAACUCUGUUAUUAGGGAAGAACAUAUGUGUAAGUAACUGUGCACAUCUUGACGGUACCUAAUCAGAAAGCCACGGCUAACUACGUG